GAUAAGAUGGCAGAGAGUUAAGUGCAUUAGAUUGUAAAUUUAAUAAUGAGGGUUAGAUUCCUUUUCUUAUUA
rnacentral:tRNA from 1 species